CGUAGGGUGCGAGCGUUGUCCGGAAUUAUUGGGCGUAAAGGGCUCGUAGGCGGUUUGUCGCGUCGGGAGUGAAAACGCCGUGCUUAACACGGCGCUUGCUUUCGAUACGGGCAGACUAGAGGUAUUCAGGGGAGAACGGAAUUCCUGGUGUAGCGGUGAAAUGCGCAGAUAUCAGGAGGAACACCGGUGGCGAAGGCGGUUCUCUGGGAAUGACCUGACGCUGAGGAGCGAAAGUGUGGGGAGCGAACAGGAUU
rnacentral:rRNA from 1 species